AGACCUACAGUAAGCGCCUCAGACACAUUUCAUUGAACUACAGUACAAAUUGUAAUUUUUCCUUGAAAUAGACCAUCAGUAAACACCUGGACUUGUCAGCGUUUGUACUGUUUUCUUUACCAAAUAGACAAUACAGUACUUUCUCUAAAUGUGCCUUAGAUCCAUACUUGCAAAUGUCAACACAGAACAGGCAUGGUAUCUCUUAUGGAUAAUGAAUGAUUGCUGAUUGAAGAAUUGUGCAAAGGAGUUUCACAUAGGUGUAUCAGAGAUUCAGACUUAUAUAAGAAAUCUCUACUACCUGAAUAUAUAGGAUCUAUGUUUUCAUUUUGUUUAGCACAGGGAAACCAAUAGAGUUUGGGGUCUUUGAAUGACAUCUGUGUUAUCUGUUUUGCGAAAGGGUGUGAUAAAUGUGUGAACACAAUGAAAACAUGUGAGCACAUUUGCAAGUGAUGACUUCUGCUGUGCAAAGAAGGUAUAAAUGGGUCAAAGCAAUCGGAACAGCAGUAAAAAAUCUCCCUUCCCUCUUCUCUGUGGGAAAAAGGGGUCGACUGUGCUCUUUACAGUAACUCUUUACCAUAGACUAUAUAUAUAUAUAGAAUUCUAUGCAGUCUAUGCUCUUUACAGUAAGAGUCAUGCACAGAUAGGCUAUCAGGAAUCAUUAUUGCACUGCAGACCCUUGGGCAAGGAUUGGUAUAGAUUAGCUACCUUAGAUACUUUGAAAGCCGGUCAUAUAGGUCAGAGCUGUUGUUCUGUAAAUUCAGAGUCGUUAAGUUCUUUUACACUAUUAGAAUUUGAAGGGCCUCCAGUCACUCUGCUUGUCUAGUAGGUUCUUGGGAGAACCUUUCAUAGUUCGUGUUGGUUGGAGGUUCCUGGAUGAACCAGAAUGUGCCGUGCGCGAGCUGGACAUUUGAAAUUUCGUCUGUUGGUUUGUCAGAGCCUCCUGAGUUUGCAACAAACUAUCUGCAGGUGGGUAUCCCUCAAGUAAAAUGUAUAACGACAGUUGUUCUGCGCUGGUUGCAAAGUACAAUUUCCUCCGGGAUCGCACAGGGAAAGGCUAUCUUCUUGCAGAAACAAACCACCAGCUUGAUGUUGACGUUGAUCGCAGCAUUAUGUCAGGAAUGGGAAUUGUAGCAAUGGCCCAAUGCCAUUUAUUUCAUCAACAAGGACCCAGAGGUUCCAAUGCCGGUACUAAUCAUUACCGGAAACUCCUUCUUGGAGGCUACGUUUGGUGUGCGUCUGGACUACACAGAUAUCCUCACCCGCAAAGUUGAUGACAUCACCCUCGGGCUUGCAACUUUGAUGUCAAUUUAUUUCGUGUUCUACAUAGAAUACCACACAGUGUUUCCCAUACAUUGACUAAUCGGUGGCGGGGUGCCACGAAAUAAAAAUCGGCCGCCACAGAUCAAUAUUCUAUGUUUAAUU